CCUACGGGAGGCAGCAGUGAGGAAUAUUUGUCAAUGGGCGCGAGCCUGAACCAGCCAAGUCGCGUGAAGGAUGACUGCCCUACGGGUUGUAACCUUCUUUUUUAACGGGAUAAAGUGAGGUACGUGUUCCUUUUUGUAUGUCUUUUAUGAAUACGGAUCGGCUAACUAGGUGUCAGCAGCCGCUGUAAUCCGGAGGAUCUGGGCGUUAUCCGGAUUUAUUGGGUUUAAAGGGAGCGUAGAUGGGUUGUUAAGUCAGUUGGAAAAGUUUGCGGCUCAACCGUAAAAUUGCAAUUGAUACUGGCAGCCUUGAGUACAUUUGAGGUAGGCGGAAUGCGUGGUGUAGCGGUGAAAUGCUUAGAUAUCACGAAGAACUCCGAUUGCGAAGGCAGCCUACUAAACUGCCACUGACAUUGAUGCUCGAAAGUGUGGGUAUCAAACAGGAUUAGAUACCCGGGUAGUC
rnacentral:rRNA from 1 species